UACGGAGGGUGCAAGCGUUAUCCGGAUUCACUGGGUUUAAAGGGUGCGUAGGAGGGCAGGGAAGUCCGUGGUGAAAUCUCCGAGCUUAACUCGGAAACUGCCGUGGAUACUCUCUGUCUUGAAUCCCGUGGAGAUGAGCGGAAUAUGUCAUGUAGCGGUGAAAUGCUUAGAUAUGACAUAGAACACCCAUUGCGAAGGCAGCUAACUACACGAUCAUUGACACUGAGGCACGAAAGCGUGGGGAGCAAACAGG
rnacentral:rRNA from 1 species